ACUGAGUUCAAGUAUAAAGUCAAAACAGUGAGGAAAUAUCAACAAACACUACAACAAAAAGGUCUUUUAGCGGCAAUUAAAUAGCGGCAAUAAGCUAAUGGCCGGUAAAUAAUUCCAAAAAUCCAAAUGCUAACGGCAAUUGUGAAUCAGCCGGUAUUGCGUACCUUUUUACUGGUGAUAAAAAUGAAUGACCACUAAAAGACAUUUCUUGAAAGCUGCUAGUUAAUAUUUUAGCUUACCCUCCAGUUAUUUUCACUAAAAUCACCCAUUCCCUCCAAUUUUAAUCAACAACUAAGUUCAAAAAAUUUGGAAAAUAUUCCAAAAAUACAAACGAAGUUUAUCAUUGCAGUUUCCCUCUUCUUGUUAUCGCUGGCCACCAUCCCACAAUAAAGGCUUCUUUCGUCGCCACUGCGCCUUCUCUGUCGCACUGUUGAUGGCCACCAUCCAUCCCCACGUGAAGACUCUCAUCAUCGAUGCUUGCCCGCUGCUGACUAACUUUUCUCUGUCUCACCCUCACUGGCUGCUAUUUCAUGCUAGGGUAUUGAGGCUUGAGGCAGGACAUACAUACUGCUUUGAGCAAGCUUUCAUCAGAGGUUGGAUGGAAUUAUUAUGACACUAUCAGGAUCUUGAGAAUAAGAGAGCUCAAGCAACAUAUGAGAGGAGAAGUCAGUUAGCGAAACAAGCAGUACAAGCACCACGAAUGCCAUUUCAAACUUCAAAGUCAUGUGAACUUGAUAUUUAGUGGAAAAUAAGUUUUUACAAGAGAAGAUAUAAAGGUACAAACAAUCGAUUUUUUCGGUGAAUUUCAGGAAGUGUGUGUUCCUAUUUCUAUUAAUAAGAAGACCUUAAUUCUUGUUAACACACUAGUGUAAGGAGAGAUUACGUAUAUUAGCAUUUAUUUGUAAGUAUCGGUGUGACACAAGCUUUGGUACCUAUCUUCGUGUGCAUGUUUAAUAUUAAGCAGAGGAGUAAAAUCUCGAAAAUGGAGUAAAAAUAUCACCUUUGCAUCCUUGUCGG